rnacentral:rRNA from 1 species
UACGUAGGGGGCAAGCGUUGUCCGGAUUUAUUGGGCGUAAAGAGCGUGUAGGCGGCCAUACAGGUCAGCUGUGAAAACUCGAGGCUCAACCUCGAGACGUCGGUUGAAACCGUAUGGCUAGAGUCCGGAAGAGGAGAGUGGAAUUCCCGGUGUAGCGGUGAAAUGCGCAGAUAUCGGGAAGAACACCGGUGGCGAAGGCGGUUCUCUGGGCCUGUACUGACGCUGAGGAGCGAAAGCGUGGGGAGCGAACAGG